CUCCAGGUGUGUUUUAAUGAUGGAAUAACAUUAUAACAUGAGGAAGAAGUAACCAAACAGAAAAAAAUGACCAAAUUUGGGCAUUAAGAAACAACCAGCUCUGCAGGAAAUCUUCAAUCUCAGCUCUAGAAACUAAGAUGGAGACCAGCAGCCAACUAAGCCAUUUCUCCACAGAAGAUUGGAGCAAAUUCUGGAAACGUCCAAAUUGGUUGUUUCUCCAGUUUCUCGAUGUAAAGCUGAAACAGGAACUGGGCGUGGAGGAAUCCAAGAACCGACAGAAACAUUUAAAACAAUUGGCUAUUCCCUACAUUUUACACCAACCACAAGACAGAACCAGAAAACGUCCAGAGUAAAAUCUCCCAGAAGGUUCUGAUGAAACCAAACUCAAACUUUGAACCACAACUGUAAAACAAAACGUCACCAAGUAGAUUUAAACGGGCCAGAAAAUCAGAGGCGUCACCUGAAGAAUCAGACAUUUUGGGUCGUUUAGUGAGACUAACUGUGGAUUUGGGAUGCUGACAGAAUCCCACCAACAAUAAAAACUGUGAUUAUAACAACGUGUUAUUUUAUAGAUGCAGACUUUUGUAAUCAGAUUCUUUGUUUUUUUUUUUUACGUCUUUCCCUCAUGACUUCCAGCUGUUUUAUGAAAAACAGAAUUAAAUUGAUAUAUUUCUCCCUUUAAAAGCAACCGAAACAUUUUCCUAAUUUCUUAUGUUUACAAAAGCAGCACUGAGCUGCAGCUUAAAGCUGAAUCACUGCAA